CCCUUAGAUGUUCUGGGCCGCACGCGCGCUACACUGACGAAUGCAACGAGCUUAUAACCUUGGCCGAAAGGUCUGGGUAAUCUCCAAAUUUCGUCGUGAUGGGGAUAGAUUAUUGCAAUUAUUAAUCUUCAACGAGGAAUGCCUAGUAAGCGCAAGUCAUCAGCUUGCGUUGAUUACGUCCCUGCCCUUUGUACACACCGCCCGUCGCUCCUACCGAUUGAAUGGUCCGGUGAAGCGUUCGGACCGUGGCCUUUGGACGGUUCGCCGUCUGCUGGCUGCGGGAAGUUCGUUAAACCUUAUCAUUUAGAGGAAGGAGAAGUCGUANCA
rnacentral:rRNA from 1 species